rnacentral:lncRNA from 1 species
CAAGGUCUGCAUCUUUAUCUAUAAUAGCAUUUUCAGGAUCUUCUUUAUGAUUCUCAACUUUAGGCUUAAGUGGUGGCUUGACCAACUCUAUAAGAUGGUCCAAAGAGGUUACUGGUGGUUUGCACUCUACCCCAUACUCAUCCACUUCCAUGGUUGUGAUCAUGCAUAGAUCUUUAUAGUGCUUAGGUGGAUUGAGUGAUUUGUAUACUUUGAAAACUACCUCUUC